UGGGGAAUCUUCCGCAAUGGACGAAAGUCUGACGGAGCAACGCCGCGUGAGUGAUGACGGCCUUCGGGUUGUAAAGCUCUGUUAAUCGGGACGAAAGGCCUUCUUGCGAAUAGUUAGAAGGAUUGACGGUACCGGAAUAGAAAGCCACGGCUAACUACGUGCCAGCAGCCGCGGUAAUACGUAGGUGGCAAGCAUUGUCCGGAAUUAUUGGGCGUAAAGCGCGCGCAGGCGGAUCAGUUAGUCUAUCUUAAAAGUUCGGGGCUUAACCCCGUGAUGGGAUGGAAACUGCUGAUCUAGAGUAUCGGAGAGGAAAGUGGAAUUCCUAGUGUAGCGGUGAAAUGCGUAGAUAUUAGGAAGAACACCAGUGGCGAAGGCGACUUUCUGGACGAAAACUGACGCUGAGGCGCGAAAGCCAGGGGAGCGAACGGGAUUAGAUACCCCGGUAGUCCUGGCCGUAAACGAUGGGUACUAGGUGUAGGAGGUAUCGACCCCUUCUGUGCCGGAGUUAACGCAAUAAGUACCCCGCCUGGGGAGUACGACCGCAAGGUUG
rnacentral:rRNA from 1 species